CAAUAGGGUCGUCUUUAGUUGAUGGGCGUCGGUGUAGCCCAAUCACGGGGCGCCGCCGUCUGCGGUUGCCCAAUGGUGUUGGAGAGGGGGCCGGCCCGCCGGCCGCAUGCGGCUCCGUCACGUGCCGGUGCAGUUGCUGCCUGGAUCUAAGGAAGAGAAGCUGCGUGUUCACCGACUGCGGACUGACACGCAAGUUUAGCUGCAGUUUCCUGUGAUGCCUGCUGUGGAAUCUGUGACGCCAGAUGUGUGAACUCCUACUCUUCAACUUCGACCCAUCCCGUCUCCGGAGACAAGCACACACACACACGCUUUCACGCUCUAACUCGACACAAACAUUUUCCACGCGUAUUUUCUCUGCUUCACGUGGCAUUUGUCUACCGUGUUCAUGUACCUUUUGCGGCGAUGUAUCUUUUUAUGUCAAGCUUUCGAACAAUAAUAACAAAAAUUUUAACUGUG